rnacentral:tRNA from 1 species
GCAUCUGUAGCCAAGUGGUCGAAGGCACCGGACUCAUAAUCCGCUUCUCAAUGAGACGUCGCUGGUUCAAGUCCAGCCAGAUGCA